AACAGAAACCCAGCCAGCGCCAGCCGCUCCGACAGUACUUGGUGGCCGGAGAGUCGGCAGCAGGAAGCAUGAGGCAGGAAAUGACCCAAUCCUUGAGGAUCCAUGAUGCCCAAAAGAGGAGAUUGGACUGGAUUGCAUUGUCUCCAUCUGACCUGGAAAACUCUAGUGAGUAGAAUCCACAUCAACCUUGUUCAGAGGUAGUUGGCC
rnacentral:lncRNA from 1 species